AACGAACGCUGGCGGCAGGCCUAACACAUGCAAGUCGAACGCUCUAGCAAUAGAGAGUGGCAGACGGGUGAGUAACGCGUGGGAAACUUCCUAGGGGUACGGAAUAGCUCAGGGAAACUUGGGGUAAUACCGUAUGAUGCCGUAAGGCCAAAGAUUUAUCGCCCUUAGAUGUGCCCGCGUCGGAUUAGCUAGUUGGUGAGGUAAUGGCUCACCAAGGCGACGAUCCGUAGCUGGUUUGAGAGAAUGACCAGCCACACUGGGACUGAGACACGGCCCAGACUCCUACGGGAGGCAGCAGUGGGGAAUCUUGGACAAUGGGCGCAAGCCUGAUCCAGCCAUGCCGCGUGAGUGACGAAGGCCUUAGGGUUGUAAAGCUCUUUUGCCGGGGACGAUAAUGACGGUACCCGGAGAAUAAGUCCCGGCUAACUUCGUGCCAGCAGCCGCCGUAA
rnacentral:rRNA from 1 species